rnacentral:rRNA from 1 species
AUUGAACGCUGGCGGCAUGCCUUACACAUGCAAGUCGAACGGCAGCACGGGAGCAAUCCUGGUGGCGAGUGGCGAACGGGUGAGUAAUGUAUCGGAACGUACCUUUCAGUGGGGGAUAACGUAGCGAAAGUUACGCUAAUACCGCAUAUUCUGUGAGUAGGAAAGCAGGGGAUCGCAAGACCUUGCGCUGAUUGAGCGGCCGAUAUCAGAUUAGCUAGUUGGUGAGGUAAAGGCUCACCAAGGCGACGAUCUGUAGCGGGUCUGAGAGGAUGAUCCGCCACACUGGAACUGAGACACGGUCCAGACUCCUACGGGAGGCAGCAGUGGGGAAUUUUGGACAAUAGGGCGGCAAGCCUGAUCCAGCCACUGCCGCCGUGAGUGAAGAAAGG